rnacentral:rRNA from 1 species
GAACUCCUCGAAUCAGG